rnacentral:rRNA from 1 species
AGAGUUUGAUCCUGGCUCAGAACGUACGCUGGCGGCACGCCUAACACAUGCAAGUCGAACGCAGUAGCAAUACUGAGUGGCAGACGGGUGAGUAACAUGUGGGAAUCUGCCUUGUGGUUCAGGACAACAUUGGGAAACCGAUGCUAAUACUGGAUAAGCCCUUACGGGGAAAGUUUUAAUGCCAUAAGAUGAGCCCGCAUUUGAUUAGUUAGUUGGUGAGGUAAUGGCUCACCAAGACAAUGAUCAAUAGCUGAUCUGAGAGGAUGAUCAGCCACACUGGGACUGAGACACGGCCCAGACUCCUACGGGAGGCAGCAGUGGGGAAUCUUGCACAAUGGAGGAAACUCUGAUGCAGCGAUGCCGCGUGAGUGAAGAAGGCCUUUGGGUUGUAAAGCUCUUUUGUAGGGGAAGAUAAUGACUGUACCCUAAGAAUAAGGUCCGGCUAACUUCGUGCCAGCAGCCGCGGUAAUACGAAGGGACCUAGCGUAGUUCGGAAUUACUGGGCGUAAAGCGCGCGUAGGCCGUUGAGUUAGUUAAUUGUGAAAUCCCAAAGCUUAACUUUGGAACUGCAAUUAAAACUGCUCGACUAGAGUUUGAUAGAGGAAAGCGGAAUACAUAGUGUAGAGGUGAAAUUCGUAGAUAUUAUGUAGAACACCAGUUGCGAAGGCGGCUUUCUGGAUCAACACUGACGCUGAGGCGCGAAAGUAUGGGUAGCAAAGAGGAUUAGAUACCCUCGUAGUCCAUACCAUAAACGAUGAUUGCUAGAUGUUGGAAAUUUAUUUUCAGUAUCGCAGCUAACGCAUUAAGCAAUCCGCCUGGGGAGUACGACCGCAAGGUUAAAACUCAAAUGAAUUGACGGGGACCCGCACAAGCGGUGGAGCAUGUGGUUUAAUUCGAAGAUACGCGCAGACCUUACCAACCCUUGACAUGUCUGUC